ACGGGUGAGUAACGCGUAGAACUUACCCUGAAGUGGGGGACAACCUCGAGAAAUCGGGGCUAAUACCGCAUACGCUCCGCAAGGAGGAAAGCUUCGGCGCUUUAGGAUGGGCUUGCGCCCGAUUAGCUAGUUGGUGAGGUAAUGGCCCACCAAGGCUCAGAUCGGUAGCUGGUCUGAGAGGAUGAUCAGCCACACUGGAAUUGAGAUACGGUCCAGACUCCUACGGGAGGCAGCAGCAGGGAAUAUUGCGCAAUGGGUGAAAGCCUGACGCAGCAACGCCGCGUGGGGGAUGACGGCUUUCGAGUUGUAAACCCCUUUUCUUGGGGAAGAUAAUGACGGUACCCGAGGAAUAAGUCUCGGCUAACUACGUGCCAGCAGCCGCGGUAAUA
rnacentral:rRNA from 1 species